rnacentral:rRNA from 1 species
UACGUAGGGACCAAGCGUUGUUCGGAUUUACUGGGCGUAAAGGGCGCGUAGGCGGCGUGGUAAGUCACUUGUGAAAUCUCCGAGCUUAACUCGGAACGGUCAAGUGAUACUGCUGUGCUAGAGUGCAGAAGGGGCAAUCGGAAUUCUUGGUGUAGCGGUGAAAUGCGUAGAUAUCAAGAGGAACACCGGUGGCGAAGGCGGGUCUCUGGGCCGAUACUGACGCUGAGGAGCGAAAGCGUGGGGAGCGAACAGG